CACGUGAGCCAAUCUUUCUUACGACACUUUUUUCUUCUUCCUUGAUUGUGUCGCCUGCUUCAUCUUGUUCUGCUCAUUGAAGCUUUCUCUUGCUACAGGUAUGAGGGUCUGCUAGCUGCGUUACGUCAUCCUUCGUUGAUGCUAGAGGAGCUUGAUGGUUCUAAGUCCUGACCAUUUUCGCUCGUCAAACCGCUGCUACCAAAUGUCUGGCUUUCAAGUGCCAUUUUCUUGAAUUUCUUCAAAUCCUCUCUGUAUUGUGUUGAGCAGUAAUCCGAGCUCCCGUCUAAGCUGUAACCAGUGCUGUCUUCUGAAGCAACUCCUUCGGUUAUGUCAGCUAGAGAAAUGUUGCCUUCAAAUGCUCGAACAAUCUGCAAUGACCCCAAGACUCACAAAGUCUUAGGUUUUUGUCCUAGAUAUAUAUUUUUGCCGAAAGGAAGUUUCAGUUUGAUAUAUAUACAGUACGUACCUGGGUCAUUGUUGGACGGCGUUUCGCUGCAUGGCGGACGCUAGCAGCAGCGCAAGCAACCACUCUCGUCAUUUCGAUGACAUCAAAGUCAUUCUCUAAUCGCGGGUCAACAAAACCGUUGAAGUUGCCAUCCUUUAGACCUUUUGCCAUCAGAGGUUUCGCCUAGAGCAGUUCCAGAAACUUAGAAGCUUAAUAAAAAAAAAAAUUGAGGGUUGGUGCUAAGGCGAAACACAAAAAUAAUAACUAACCCAAUCAACGAUGCUAUCAUCAUCGGAGAAAGCCCUUGAUUUAUCAUAAGGUCGGCGCCCCGUUAUCAAUUCGAUAAGCACCACUCCGAACGAGAAGACAUCUGCUUUGUCUGUGAGUUUCCCAGAAGAGGCAUAUUCAGGGGCCAAGUAGCUGCAUCUCACAAGAAACAAGUUUUAAAGAUUGUUGGUUUGGUGAUCAACUUAUGGUUAUGGUUGAAUAUAGAAAGGGCAUUCAUACCCGAAUGAUCCCAUAACCCGAGUGGAAACAUGGGUUUCACAGUCUGAACAAGACUUGGCGAGUCCAAAAUCUGCUAUCUGAUGCACAAGGUUCAACAUGACUAGUUAGUUGUGGAGUUUAAAUAUAUAGAGCUUUUACAAGUUCAGAUAAUACCUUUGACUCAUAGCUAUUGUCAAUCAAAAUAUUGGCAGCUUUUA